rnacentral:rRNA from 1 species
AGAACGAACGCUGGCGGCAUGCCUAACACAUGCAAGUCGAACGAUCUCUUCGGAGAUAGUGGCGCACGGGUGCGUAACGCGUGGGAAUCUGCCCUUGGGUUCGGAAUAACAGUUGGAAACGACUGCUAAUACCGGAUGAUGACGUUAAGUCCAAAGAUUUAUCGCCCAGGGAUGAGCCCGCGUAGGAUUAGCUAGUUGGUGAGGUAAAGGCUCACCAAGGCGACGAUCCUUAGCUGGUCUGAGAGGAUGAUCAGCCACACUGGGACUGAGACACGGCCCAGACUCCUACGGGAGGCAGCAGUGGGAUAUUGGACAAUGGGCGAAAGCCUGAUCCAGCAAUGCCGCGUGAGCGAUGAAGGCCUUAGGGUUGUAAAGCUCGUUUACCCGGAUGAUAUGACAGUACCGGAGAAUAAGCUCCGGACUAACUCCGUGUCAGCAGCCGAC